rnacentral:rRNA from 2 species
ACUCUGGUAUUGAUUGGUGCUUGCAUCAUGAUUUACAUUUGAGUGAGUGGCGAACUGGUGAGUAACACGUGGGAAACCUGCCCAGAAGCGGGGGAUAACACCUGGAAACAGAUGCUAAUACCGCAUAACAACUUGGACCGCAUGGUCCGAGUUUGAAAGAUGGCUUCGGCUAUCACUUUUGGAUGGUCCCGCGGCGUAUUAGCUAGAUGGUGGGGUAACGGCUCACCAUGGCAAUGAUACGUAGCCGACCUGAGAGGGUAAUCGGCCACAUUGGGACUGAGACACGGCCCAAACUCCUACGGGAGGCAGCAGUAGGGAAUCUUCCACAAUGGACGAAAGUCUGAUGGAGCAACGCCGCGUGAGUGAAGAAGGGUUUCGGCUCGUAAAACUCUGUUGUUAAAGAAGAACAUAUCUGAGAGUAACUGUUCAGGUAUUGACGGUAUUUAACCAGAAAGCCACGGCUAACUACGUGCCAGCAGCCGCGGUAAUACGUAGGUGGCAAGCGUUGUCCGGAUUUAUUGGGCGUAAAGCGAGCGCAGGCGGUUUUUUAAGUCUGAUGUGAAAGCCUUCGGCUCAACCGAAGAAGUGCAUCGGAAACUGGGAAACUUGAGUGCAGAAGAGGACAGUGGAACUCCAUGUGUAGCGGUGAAAUGCGUAGAUAUAUGGAAGAACACCAGUGGCGAAGGCGGCUGUCUGGUCUGUAACUGACGCUGAGGCUCGAAAGUAUGGGUAGCAAACAGGAUUAGAUACCCUGGUAGUCCAUACCGUAAACGAUGAAUGCUAAGUGUUGGAGGGUUUCCGCCCUUCAGUGCUGCAGCUAACGCAUUAAGCAUUCCGCCUGGGGAGUACGGCCGCAAGGCUGAAACUCAAAGGAAUUGACGGGGGGCCCGCACAAGCGGUGGAGCAUGUGGUUUAAUUCGAAGCUACGCGAAGAACCUUACCAGGUCUUGACAUACUAUGCAAAUCUAAGAGAUUAGACGUUCCCUUCGGGGACAUGGAUACAGGUGGUGCAUGGUUGUCGUCAGCUCGUGUCGUGAGAUGUUGGGUUAAGUCCCGCAACGAGCGCAACCCUUAUUAUCAGUUGCCAGCAUUAAGUUGGGCACUCUGGUGAGACUGCCGGUGACAAACCGGAGGAAGGUGGGGAUGACGUCAAAUCAUCAUGCCCCUUAUGACCUGGGCUACACACGUGCUACAAUGGAUGGUACAACGAGUUGCGAACUCGCGAGAGUAAGCUAAUCUCUUAAAGCCAUUCUCAGUUCGGAUUGUAGGCUGCAACUCGCCUACAUGAAGUCGGAAUCGCUAGUAAUCGCGGAUCAGCGUGCCGCGGUGAAUACGUUCCCGGGCCUUGUACACA